rnacentral:rRNA from 1 species
CAGUUCGGAUUGUAGUCUGCAACUCGACUACAUGAAGCUGGAAUCGCUAGUAAUCGCGGAUCAGAAUGCCGCGGUGAAUACGUUCCCGGGUCUUGUACACACCGCCCGUCACACCAUGGGAGUCGGAAAUGCCCGAAGUCUGUGACCCAACCUUAGGGAGGGAGCAGCCGUAGGCAGGUCGGAUGACUGGGGUGAAGUCGUAACAAGGUAAC